GACGAACCGUGCGAGCGUUGUUCGGAAUCACUGGGCUUAAAGGGCGCGUAGGCGGGCGGCCGCGUCCGGGGUGAAAUCCCACGGCUCAACCGUGGAACGGCCUCGGAUACGGGAGGCCUCGAGGGGGGUAGGGGCAUCUGGAACUGUGAGUGGAGCGGUGAAAUGCGUUGAUAUUCACAGGAACUCCGGUGGCGAAGGCGAGGUGCUGGACCCCAUCUGACGCUGAGGCGCGAAAGCCAGGGGAGCGAACGGG
rnacentral:rRNA from 1 species